rnacentral:lncRNA from 1 species
UUCCUGAAAGUCACCACUCUCACAAACACAAUCAGGGUGCCCACUCUACGAUGAAUCUAUUUAUAUCUCCAGCCUGAGCCAAAUGAAGCUACUAUUCUAAAAUCUAUAAGGGUAAGUGGAUCCGAUACUCACGUGGACACGCUCCUUUUCUGCUGGGAAGCUCUUACACACAGAAACGUUAACAGGAUUUACCAAAUCCAUCUGUUUGCAAAACCAGCAUCUCGGAGGGCAUUCGGUGGGGUUGAGAGCCGUGAGUCCCAGCAGGUGCAGGAGCCGUGGCGGGCUCAGGCAGCACACAGCCAGCCUUAGCGCUGCUCCCCGUUCCCUCUCGCCGACAAAGAGCACGUUUUCACUCCUGGGAUCAUGGUGAAAAGCUGAUUCGAAUUUGCCGAGUCAGAAAACUGAGCACUCAGAUUACGUGAGUCGGUGGAUUCGGUCGGGAAUUUUUGAAAGUCGGAGCACAGCAAUAAGAUGCAGAGCAUUUCUGCGGGCGUUUCCAGAGCCCCUUAUGGCUGAGGAUCUCUAAGCUCCUUAUAGAUAUUAAUGAAUUAAAGCUACAGCAUUCCAGAGUGCUGGGUAAUUUUAUUAUCCCCUCUGCUAAGAGGAAAACUGAAACACAGGGAAAGUGGCUGGCCUGCGGUUUGUCUGCUCAGCUGCUGGAGGAGGAGGCUUUGGGAUUUCAGCACAAACCACACGGCAGCAGCAUUAGAGGAAAAGCUGUUGCCUCUUUCGAGGAGUGGGGAUGGUAUCUAUGUUCAAGGCACAGUAUUGGAGUCUAUGAUUACUAUUCAUCAAUUUUUCACCUAGAAGACCACCCUUCUUUGGAUCAGUUCUGGAGUGGAUCUGUGCACCUGACAGCCUGUCUUCUUCAACCCAGUAUUUCCUUUGCAUUUUCACAAGAAAACUCUCUAGGAGAAAGUGAAGAGAAGCCCAGCUGUCUCCUGUGUUUUCCUGGAGGACCUAAAAUACCAUGGAAGGUUUCUGAAGAGCAGAUUUCCCCUGCACAGAAGAUCGGGAAGCCAAAUGCUGUCCCACCGGAGAAAACAAAAUGA